rnacentral:rRNA from 1 species
UACGGGGGGAGCAAGCGUUGUUCGGAUUUACUGGGCGUAAAGGGCGCGUAGGCGGCCACCGCAAGUCGGUUGUGAAAUCUCCGGGCUUAACCCGGAAAGGUCAAUCGAUACUGCGGGGCUAGAGUGCAGAAGGGGCAACUGGAAUUCUCGGUGUAGCGGUGAAAUGCGCAGAUAUCAGGAGGAACACCGGUGGCGAAGGCGGGUCUCUGGGCCGAAACUGACGCUGAGGAGCGAAAGCGUGGGGAGCAAACAGG